AUAUUUUUUCAGCGGUCUUUAAAAAUAAAUAAAUUAUCGCUAUCUUCUUUACGUCUUCAAACGCUUGAUUGGUUUGGUGCAUAUCUCCAAGUGUCCCUAUCGUUACUCAGUUCCUUUAACUCCUUAUAGCUAUUCUUUAGCAUAUCUAUCAUAAUUUGGUUCAUAUACUUCAUCCUUGGUCUUUCUCUUCUGGCAUGACCUUCAACGUCACCUUCUAUGACGCUUUUCGUUGGGUUAUCAUGGUGUAGUAGAUGUCCUGUCAUUUUGUUUCU